GAGAAACCGACCAUACUGAUGUGAUUCUAUUUUGAUGUCGGUCCAAAACAGCCCGGCUCUUCUCGAAGAUCUCCGCGGUGAGAGACAGUCGGAGCACAAAUGUUUACCUUCCGUGGAGAUGUGGAGGAAAUGAUAAGAAAAACAAAGUUAUCUGUGUCGCUUCUGUCAGGCAGAGAAAGGGCUGAAGGUCAGACGUGACUCAACAUGGAAAAGUUCCCUCCACCCCCCUUGACAUUUGGGAUGCAGCUUCCUCCUCUAUAGUCAUCAUGCGUCUAUCAGCAGCGAAGCGAAUCCCACAUUGCUUCGUCAUGUGCAAACUGCUGUGAGAAGUGGCGAGUGCGACUCGUAGGGUGAAAGCACUUCGACUUUUACACCGCGUCGAUGCAGUCUGUCUACCGAUUGUUCAGCAGCUGUGACCUACUUGCUUACCUGCUACACUUAGCAUGUUUUGUGGAUUUGAUGCCGAGAAUAAGAGAAAAAAAUUAAAUAAAAAAUGUUAAAAAA